AGGCUGUGCUGAAGAUAUGAAAAUAAGCAGUUGGAGAAACCAGAAAAGUGACUGGGGAUCUGUAUACUGCUGAGAAUUGCUUGGAAAGUUUUACUUCUGAUGAACAAGGCUGCACAGCUGAGAUUUCAAGUUGUGUGGAAGAAGACCUGAUAUUCAUUGCUAUAUGUUUAAGAUCAUCUGUGAAGAUGAGAGCUGAAGUUUUUUAAAUGCUGCACUGGAAAAUGUCAACUUCAAAGCAGGAGUAUUUCUCAAAUAUGAAAUUCAGGAUUAUUUAUUCUCAAUAGUGCUAGAAAUUUUAAAAUAAACUGAUAAGAUUAUGAAACAUUUUUAAAAACAAGACAAAGAACAUAAAUAAAAAACUUCUUGAUAUUUUAGUGAACAAAAAUUUAAGAUCAGUACCAUUGUUUAAAAACUGCUUUUCUAUUUCUUUCUGGAAUAUUACUUUGAGUUUAUGUGGGCAAAGAGUUGGAGACAGUUUUUCCAUUGCUAUGUAUGGAAAACUUCAGGUUAACAAUAGAACUGCUCUAAAAAUACUAUUGAAACAGAUGCAAUGAAGUAUAACUCCUUAAUAUUUUACUACAAUUGUUUCCCUUUCUUAUUAUCUUUUAGUAUGAAAAGCAAUGCAGAGAUUAGUUUAAGAAAUUGAAAGAGGAUGUAGUACUGUAUACAGCUGUACUUCUCUGCUUGCCAGGUCCAUAUCCAAUGCUGUAAUUUUAGCUUCCAGUUCCAGUAAACAGUUAGACUGUGUGUAACCUCUCAAUGGCAUUUAUUUUCAUGCUCAUUUCCUACAGUGAAACAGAUUUGAUUCCAUCCAUUUAUUCAGUCUGACAUGUGGGUAACAUCUUCAGUAGCACAGGAGAAUGGCUGAAACAUCUUUUUGCUGGAAGCCUUGCAAUCCAGAUAAUUUUUAUUUUAGUGUAACAAACAACUAAUCCAUAGUCAGGCUUUGCCUAGAGGCACUUUUUAUUUACAGUGUUCAAAGACAUCUUAACUCAGAUAGAACCUUGCAAGUCUUGAAAAAGAUUGUGAGCCAGAAACAAUUGUGAAUCCAGUAUUGCAAGAGAUCCUUGCUUUUUUAUGAAACCACUGCUGCUAAUCUUGGCUACUUUUUUUGAAUAUCAAAUAUAAGUAAACCUUGUUUAUAAAGUUUUCAAGCUGACUGAGGGAAAAAAAAAAAAAAAAAACAAGAAAAAGAAAUGAUAGGAGAUCAAGGGGAAUAUGUGAGAUCUUUCUGAUCGUGUAUCAACUACUGGCAAUUUAGGAAAUGUUGCCAUUGACAUACCAGUGUCUUUUUAACUAUAAACAGUAGUUAUACAAUUAGCUUUUUCAGAGCUGGCUAACAUUUGACCCCCAAAUUAUCUGUCUUUUACAUGACAGCUUAAUCAGAUUCAUGAGGAAAGAUCACAUGAGUGUUGCCUACUUAGUUGAUAAAACAAUAAUUCAGAUUCCGUCCCCUUACUGGGACUCUUCAGUCAGUGCUUGAAUGCCAGCAACAUAUCUUAGUCUGUUUGAAGUUAAGAUCUGGGAUCUGAUUUCCUGAGACUCAAAAAUUAAAGUUUGCCAGCUUGAAUUGUCUUUUAUCUACACUGUUGUCUGGUUGUUGGCUGUCAAGUGUGUUGAAUAUUGGACCACAUGGAUCUCUGCCUGGUAGUUAAUUGUUCUCCAAACCACAACAAAUUAGAGCAGCUGCUGCUCUAUAAUGCUUCCUCUUUGUUGAUGCUGGAAAGAUGGACAUCUUGGCCUACAUCAAUCCAGUUUCUUCAGAAUGUUGUCUUCCCCUUACUAUAGUAGACAGUUAAUCCAUAAUAUGACAUCCACCUCCACUUAACACCUGGACUUGUUUGGUGAAUAAGUUUCAGGAAGCAACUGGGUGGUACGCCGAUAAGUUGAGUAGUACAAACCUACCUCCUCACAGGAUCAUCUUUUUAGCCGAGUUUCCAGGUGGAAAAAGGAAAAGUAAGGGCUCCAUAGCAAAGUUCUUUUGCAUCUCUUACCUGGGCGAGCAAAAUUCUGCACCUGACCACCAGGUGGGGGAAUUGCUAAGAUACUGAUUAAUUAAUCGAAGACUAAUGUAUUAGUCAAUUUGCAUAUAAAA